rnacentral:rRNA from 1 species
AUGAUCUGCUCAUGAUAAUUAAAUAGCCGCAUUUGUGCUAAGGUAGCAUAAUCAUUUGUCUUUUAAUUGAGGACUAGAACAAAAGAUUUAACAUUUUAACUCGUAUCUAUAAUAUUAUAUUCAAACCUACUUUAAAUGUAAAAAAGCAUUUAUUAAAAGAAAGACGACAAGACCCUAUUGAACUUAACUUUAGUUUUACUGGGGCAGUAAAUUAAUGAAUAUUUUAUAUUCAAUUAUAUAAUAAAUUAUCCAAUAUUAUUGAAUAAUUCAGUUACCAUAGGGAUAACAGCGUAAUUAUUUUUAUGAGACCUUAUCUAAAAAAUAGAUUGCGACCUCGAUGUUGAAUUAAUAACCUAAUAUAAGCAAAAGUUUAAAAAGGAAGUCUGUUCGACUUUUAAAAAAUUACAUGAUCUGAGUUCAAACCGGA